GACGAACGCUGGCGGCGCGCCUAACACAUGCAAGUCGAACGAGAGAUGAGGAGCUUGCUCUUCAAAUCGAGUGGCGAACGGGUGAGUAACGCGUGAGGAACCUGCCUCAAAGAGGGGGACAACAGUUGGAAACGACUGCUAAUACCGCAUAAGCCCACGGCUCGGCAUCGAGCAGAGGGAAAAGGAGCAAUCCGCUUUGAGAUGGCCUCGCGUCCGAUUAGCUAGUUGGUGAGGUAACGGCCCACCAAGGCAACGAUCGGUAGCCGGACUGAGAGGUUGAGCGGCCACAUUGGGACUGAGACACGGCCCAGACUCCUACGGGAGACAGCAGUGGGGAAUAUUGCACAAUGGGGGAAACCCUGAUGCAGCGACGCCGCGUGGAGGAAGAAGGUCUUCGGAUUGUAAACUCCUGUUGUUGAGGAAGAUAAUGACGGUACUCAACAAGGAAGUGACGGCUAACUACGUGCCAGCAGCCGCGGUAAAACGUAGGUCACAAGCGUUGUCCGGAAUUACUGGGUGUAAAGGGAGCGCAGGCGGGAGAACAAGUUGGAAGUGAAAUCCAUGGGCUCAACCCAUGAACUGCUUUCAAAACUGUUUUUCUUGAGUAGUGCAGAGGUAGGCGGAAUUCCCGGUGUAGCGGUGGAAUGCGUAGAUAUCGGGAGGAACACCAGUGGCGAAGGCGGCCUACUGGGCACCAACUGACGCUGAGGCUCGAAAGUGUGGGUAGCAAACAGGAUUAGAUACCCUGGUAGUCCACACCGUAAACGAUGAUUACUAGGUGUUGGAGGAUUGACCCCUUCAGUGCCGCAGUUAACACAAUAAGUAAUCCACCUGGGGAGUACGACCGCAAGGUUGAAACUCAAAGGAAUUGACGGGGGCCCGCACAAGCAGUGGAGUAUGUGGUUUAAUUCGACGCAACGCGAAGAACCUUACCAAGUCUUGACAUCCCUUGACGAUGCUGGAAACAGUAUUUCUCUUCGGAGCAAGGAGACAGGUGGUGCAUGGUUGUCGUCAGCUCGUGUCGUGAGAUGUUGGGUUAAGUCCCGCAACGAGCGCAACCCUUAUGGUCAGUUACUACGCAAGAGGACUCUGGCCAGACUGCCGUUGACAAAACGGAGGAAGGUGGGGAUGACGUCAAAUCAUCAUGCCCUUUAUGACUUGGGCUACACACGUACUACAAUGGCGUUAAACAAAGAGAAGCAAGACCGCGAGGUGGAGCAAAACUCAGAAACAACGUCCCAGUUCGGACUGCAGGCUGCAACUCGCCUGCACGAAGUCGGAAUUGCUAGUAAUCGUGGAUCAGCAUGCCACGGUGAAUACGUUCCCGGGCCU
rnacentral:rRNA from 1 species